GAUGAACGCUGGCGGCGUGCCUAAUACAUGCAAGUCGAGCGAACAGACGAGGAGCUUGCUCCUCUGACGUUAGCGGCGGACGGGUGAGUAACACGUGGAUAACCUACCUAUAAGACUGGGAUAACUUCGGGAAACCGGAUCUAAUACCGGAUAAUAUAUUGAACCGCAUGGUUCAAUAGAGAAAGACGGUUUUGCUGUCACUUAUAGAUGGAUCCGCGCCGCAUUAGCUAGUUGGUAAGGUAACGGCUUACCAAGGCGACGAUGCGUAGCCGACCUGAGAGGGUGAUCGGCCACACUGGAACUGAGACACGGUCCAGACUCCUACGGGAGGCAGCAGUAGGGAAUCUUCCGCAAUGGGCGAAAGCCUGACGCAGCAACGCCGCGUGAGUGAUGAAGGUCUUCGGAUCGUAAAACUCUGUUAUUAGGGAAGAACAAAUGUGUAAGUAACUAUGCACGUCUUGACGGUACCUAAUCAGAAAGCCACGGCUAACUACGUG
rnacentral:rRNA from 1 species